UACAGAGGGGGCAAGCGUUGUUCGGAAUUACUGGGCGUAAAGGGCGCGUAGGCGGCCUGUUAAGUCGAACGUGAAAUCCCUGGGCUCAACCCAGGAACUGCGUCCGAUACUGGCAGGCUUGAAUUCGGGAGAGGGAUGCGGAAUUCCAGGUGUAGCGGUGAAAUGCGUAGAUAUCUGGAGGAACACCGGUGGCGAAGGCGGCAUCCUGGACCGAGAUUGACGCUGAGGCGCGAAAGCCAGGGGAGCAAACGGG
rnacentral:rRNA from 1 species